GCGGAAUAAACAAUUGCGAUUUAAUCUUGUCACACGGUUCAAAACGGUCAUGUCAGGUUCACGAGCGGUCAAAUGUGAUGUCACCUUAUCAUCCACUCAAGACUAAAGUUACAUACAGUUUCUAUAUCAGUUUAAAAAGUAAAAAUGAAGCACUACGUCGUAUUUGUUCUACUAAUUAUCAGUGUGCAAUGCAUGUCCAAUCCACGGAUAACAAGGCAGGCUGACGAUUAUGACGAUGGCAUGGGGUUUAAUAGCAACGGUAGAGGUGGUGAUGAUGACUUCAUUGCUAACUCUUCGAGUUGUCCCGCAGGGAUGACUAGAGCACCGUGGGGCGCUUGUAUAGCGUGUUACGAAUACCGGCAAAAAUUUGGCCAUGCGGGAGAUAACUGCUAAGGGAAACUAUAAAAAUGUUAAUUAGAUAAGCCACUUCAAAAAUUAAAUUUCUUUACUUCCUUUCGUCAUUGUACAUAACAUAACAGUCGAAGACCGGAAUGAUAAAAUAAUAAAUAUACCUGUUAAAUUAAAUAGUAUUAAAAAUAUUAAUACAGCAUGCCCUCUUAGGAUGAAAUGUAGUUCCGGGAUCAUGGAAUUUCAUAGAUAAUAAAUUAUACUAUUAGCAGACUUUACACCCAUGGAGUAUUUGUCAAUGAAUUCGAAAAGGGGUUAUCUUUCAAUUAGAUAUAGCGCCAUGACCCAAUGGCCGUUACCCGGGGUCUAUUUGUACGAAGAAACUGUAAUUAUUAUCACAAGACUAUUAAUAUAAUGACACCGAGAACCUAAAUGCCUAUGAUUAUAAAAUGAUAAUAACAAUAAAGUCUUUUUUAUUUCCAUAUCCUUAAGUUCCAUUUCAAAUAUUGUUAAUAUUACUUAUAGCUAAAUGUUAGUAGUAAUAAGUCGCCUGUGAAUAUGUACCCCUUUUGGGUGAAGGACUCCCCCAACCCUUACUAAAUGUCUCCAUCUUUACCUCCAUCCUUAUCUAAUAGUCUGCCAAGCUUUUCCUGCGAUUUCUUUCAAGUCAUCAGCCAACCAUCUAUUUGGCCUGCCCACUUUUCUUUUCCCGGGUGGUAACUUCCGUUGUGUUUUCUAUGAUGUGCAUUUGUUGUUAUAUGGCAUCGUUUUAUUUUCUUUUUUGCCUGACUUGGUGUCGAACACUUUUGAUUUGGUGUAUCUUCUUUUAAUUAAAUAUACUUCUUCUUCUGAAAUAUGAAUACCCUAGUUUCGCAACCAUAUAACAAUAUAUAAUAAAAAAAAUCAUUUAUUUAAAUAGGUAACACAAUGUACACUUAUGAACGUCAAAAAUAAAUAUACAUUAAAUGCUUCUAAAUCUACAUUUUCUAGAGGGCAGUGUAUUUAUGUCUAUUACAUUAAUUUUCGAAAAAUCAUUAAUUAAUCUAAAUCAAAUAAAUUUAUCAACGCAAGAGACGCAAAUAAAACUAUUAUGAGCGGUGAUUCGAAAUUAUAUGUAAUUUCAGCGAAUAGAUAUGAUAUUUGCUAACUGAGUUGACGACGUCAAAAAAAAAUGAAACAAAAUGUCACGCUACUUUAGACUUAAUAUCCUUACACUAAUGAAGAACUUUAAGCGUUACAUUGGAUUUAGAGGGCCCUCCUCUAAACACACAAAAGAGUGUCGUAAGCAAAAUAAAUAAUAAAAUACUUGGUACUUGGACACAAUGAAUUAUUUAUUUGAAAAAAAGAUUUUUUUUUAAAUCCAUCUGCAAUCAGCCUCUUGGUUUUUAUCAGAUUUUAUGAAAUGAUGGCAAUUAGGGAACGCAAAUGCAAUUAUUUUUUAUUUCCCUUCGUUUUCGUAAACUAUCAAACUGUGUCGUUUCCAACAGGCCCGAAGCCAGGGGAUUGACGUGUUGCUGAUAAAAAUUUAGUAUUAUAUUUGUUGCCCGAAGCCGCCAGACCUCUAUCCGGUAUUAAGCGUCUGAGCUUCAUUGUUUGUCUCACUUCUUCAAUAAAUAAAACACUUGAAACUCGCAAGGAACAACUUAAAAUUAAAACGUAAUCAGUCGAAAAAUUUGUCAUGAAUGAAUACGUUGUCUUUGUUUUAAUUAUUCUCAGUGUACACUUUAUGCACGAACUGGACGCAUACAAAUAUAUUGUCAAUAUAUCAAAAUGUCCCAUAGGGACAACAAGAUCGCUAUGGGGUGAAUGUAUCAAUUGUAAUAGAUACUAUGAAGUAUUUGGUUACGGCGGGGAGAACUGCUAGUGACUUAUCAAGAAGAAAUUAUAAAUAUAUUUUAAAAU